rnacentral:tRNA from 1 species
ACUAUUUUGGCAGAUUAGUGCAAUAAAUUUAGGAUUUAUUAAUAUAGAUUAUUCUAUAAAUAGUA